rnacentral:rRNA from 1 species
CCAAUGCAAGUCGAGCGGAUGAUGGGAGCUUGCUCCCGGAUUCAGCGGCGGACGGGUGAGUAAUGCCUAGAAAUCUGCCUGGUAUGGGGGACAACGUUUCGAAAGGAACGCUAAUACCGCAUACGUCCUACGGGAGAAAGCAGGGGACCUUCGGGCCUUGCGCUAUCAGAUGAGCCUAGGUCGGAUUAGCUAGUUGGUGGGGUAAAGGCCUACCAAGGCGACGAUCCGUAACUGGUCUGAGAAGAUGAUCAGUCACACUGGAACUGAGACACGGUCCAGACUCCUACGGGAGGCAGCAGUGGGGAAUAUUGGACAAUGGGCGAAAGCCUGAUCCAGCCAUGCCGCGUGUGUGAAGAAGGUCUUCGGAUUGUAAAGCACUUUAAGUUGGGAGGAAGGGCAGUAAGUUAAUACCUUGCUGUUUUGACGUUACCAACAGAAUAAGCACCGGCUAACUUCGUGCCAGCAGCCGCGGUAAUACGGGAGGGGGCUAGCGUUGUUCGGAAUUACUGGGCGUAAAGCGCACGUAGGCGGACCAGAAAGUUGGGGGUGAAAU